AUACGUAGGUGACAAGCGUUAUCCGGAUUUACUGGGCGUAAAGGGCGUGUAGGCGGUCUUGCAAGUCAGAAGUGAAAUUCCUGAGCUCAACUCGGGCGCUGCUUCUGAAACUGCAGGACUUGAGUGCUGGAGGGGAUAGCGGAAUUCCUAGUGGAGCGGUAAAAUGCGCAGAUAUUAGGAAGAACACCGGUGGCGAAGGCGGAAACUUGGACAGUAACUGACGCUGAGGCGCAAAAGCGUGGGGAUCAAAAUGGAUUAGUUACCCUGGUUGUCCACGCCGUAAACGUUGAAUACUAGGUGUAGGGGGUAGUGACUCCCUCUGUGCCGCAGUUAACACAAUAAGUAUUCCGCCUGGGGAGUACGGCCGCAAGGUUGAAACUCAAAUGAAUUGACGGGG
rnacentral:rRNA from 1 species